UGUGACAUGGGUUCCUGCCUUCCAUGUGUGC
rnacentral:piRNA from 1 species